rnacentral:rRNA from 1 species
UACGAGGGGGGCGAGCGUUGUUCGGAAUUAUUGGGCGUAAAGGGUGCGUAGGCGGUUCCGCAAGUCCUGUGUGAAAUCUUCGGGCUCAACUCGAAGUCUGCACGGGAAACUGCGGGGCUUGAGUGUGGGAGAGGUGAGUGGAAUUCCCGGUGUAGCGGUGAAAUGCGCAGAGAUCGGAAAGAACACCAACGGCGAAAGCACUCUGCUGGGCCGACACUGACACUGAGAGACGAAAGCUAGGGGAGCGAAUGGG